rnacentral:tRNA from 1 species
AGCAGGGAGGACGAACGGAAAAGUCGGAAUUCUCAUUAAAUUCAGAAGCGGGUUCGACUCCCGCCCCUGCUCCCA